rnacentral:rRNA from 1 species
CUGAUGCGCCAUGCCGCGUGUGUGAAGAAGGCCUUCGGGUUGUAAAGCACUUUCAGUCGUGAGGAAGGUGGUGUAGUUAAUAGCUGCAUUACUUGACGUUAGCGACAGAAGAAGCACCGGCUAACUCCGUGCCAGCAGCCGCGGUAAUACGGAGGGUGCGAGCGUUAAUCGGAAUUACUGGGCGUAAAGCGCAUGCAGGUGGUUUGUUAAGUCAGAUGUGAAAGCCCGGGGCUCAACCUCGGAAUAGCAUUUGAAACUGGCAGACUAGAGUACUGUAGAGGGGGGUAGAAUUUCAGGUGUAGCGGUGAAAUGCGUAGAGAUCUGAAGGAAUACCGGUGGCGAAGGCGGCCCCCUGGACAGAUACUGACACUCAGAUGCGAAAGCGUGGGGAGCAAACAGGAUUAGAUACCCUGGUAGUCCACGCCGUAAACGAUGUCUACUUGGAGGUUGUGGCCUUGAGCCGUGGCUUUCGGAGCUAACGCGUUAAGUAGACCGCCUGGGGAGUACGGUCGCAAGAUUAAAACUCAAAUGAAUUGACGGGGGCCCGCACAAGCGGUGGAGCAUGUGGUUUAAUUCGAUGCAACGCGAAGAACCUUACCUACUCUUGACAUCCAGAGAACUUUCCAGAGAUGGAUUGGUGCCUUCGGGAACUCUGAGACAGGUGCUGCAUGGCUGUCGUCAGCUCGUGUUGUGAAAUGUUGGGUUAAGUCCCGCAACGAGCGCAACCCUUAUCCUUGUUUGCCAGCGAGUAAUGUCGGGAACUCCAGGGAGACUGCCGGUGAUAAACCGGAGGAAGGUGGGGACGACGUCAAGUCAUCAUGGCCCUUACGAGUAGGGCUACACACGUGCUACAAUGGCGCAUACAGAGGGCAGCAAGCUAGCGAUAGUGAGCGAAUCCCAAAAAGUGCGUCGUAGUCCGGAUUGGAGUCUGCAACUCGACUCCAUGAAGUCGGAAUCGCUAGUAAUCGUGGAUCAGAAUGCCACGGUGAAUACGUUCCCGGGCCUUGUACACACCGCCCGUCACACCAUGGGGAGUGGGCUGCAAAAGAAGUAGGUAGUUUAACCUUCGGGAGGACGCUUACCACUUUGAGGUUCAUGACUGGGGUAAUCGUAAAACAAGGGGAACCAA